AGAGUUUGAUCAUGGCUCAGGACGAACGCUGGCGGCGUGCUUAACACAUGCAAGUCGAACGGAAAGCCCCCUUCGGGGGGACUCGAGUGGCGAACGGGUGAGUAACACGUGGGUGAUCUGCCCUGCACUUUGGGAUAAGCCUGGGAAACUGGGUCUAAUACCGGAUAGGACUACGAAUCGCAUGGUUUGUGGUGGAAAGCUUUUGCGGUGUGGGAUGGGCCCGCGGCCUAUCAGCUUGUUGGUGGGGUGAUGGCCUACCAAGGCGACGACGGGUAGCCGGCCUGAGAGGGUGUCCGGCCACACUGGGACUGAGAUACGGCCCAGACUCCUACGGGAGGCAGCAGUGGGGAAUAUUGCACAAUGGGCGCAAGCCUGAUGCAGCGACGCCGCGUGAGGGAUGGCGGCCUUCGGGUUGUAAACCUCUUUCAGUAUCGACGAAGCGCAAGUGACGGUAGGUACAGAAGAAGCACCGGCCAACUACGUGCCAGCAGCCGCGGUA
rnacentral:rRNA from 1 species